GGGCGGGUCUACAAUCAAUACCACGCAAGCGAAGCGGGAAGAGCUCAAUUUGAAAGCUGGCGUCCUACGGGCGUCCGCAUUGUAAUCUAUAGAGGCGUUUUCUGUGCUGGACCGUGUCCAAGUCCCUGGAACAGGGUAUCAAAGAGGGUGACAAUCCCGUACUUGACACGACAACCAGUGCUCUGUGAUACGUCUUCUACGAGUCGAGUUGUUUGGGAAUGCAGCUCAAAAUGGGUGGUGAAUUCCAUCUAAAGUAAAUAUUGGCGAGAGACCGAUAGCGAACAAGUACCGUGAGGGAAAGAUGAAAAGCACUUUGGAAAGAGAGUUAAACAGUAUGUGAAAUUGUUGAAAGGGAAACGAUGGAGGUCAGUCGUGUCUGUGGAUUCAGCCGUCUCUGGCGGUGUACUUCCCACAGACGGGUCAACAUCAGUUUUGGCUGGCGGAUAAAGGCAGGAGGAAGGUGGCACCCCCGGGUGUGUUAUAGCCUCUUGUUGCAUACGCUGGCUGAACUGAGGAAUGCAGCUCGCCUUUAUGGCCGGGGUUCGCCCACGUUCGAGCUUAGGAUGUUGACAUAAUGGCCUUCAACGACCCGUCUUGAACCACGGACCACUGCCUCCCAUUUAGCGAAGGAAAAGGCGUCUCUCUUUUAAUAUAAGAACCACAGCAU
rnacentral:rRNA from 1 species